rnacentral:rRNA from 1 species
UACGAGAGGUCCAAGCGUUAGUCGGAAUCACUGGGCUUAAAGGGUGCGUAGGCGGGCCAGUAAGUGUCUCGUGAAAUCCCAUGGCUCAACCAUGGAACUGCGGGGCAUACUGCUGGUCUUGAGGAAGCUAGAGGCCGGCGGAACGAUAGGUGGAGCGGUGGAAUGCGUAGAUAUCUAUCGGAACGCCAAAGGUGAAGACAGCCGGCGUAGGGCUUUCCUGACGCUCAGGCACGAAAGCGUGGGGAUCAAACAGG